rnacentral:lncRNA from 1 species
GCUGCCUGCAGAUGCUCACCAUCCUCGUGGAUGGAGCUCCAGAGUCCUGGGAGAGCCAGGUUUGAAGCUGAAAGGCCUAGAACUCCAUGCCUUCGUGAUGACAGAGAACUCCAGGUGGGAGAGCAUUUUAGUUUUACUCGCUUCCUCUGACAAGUCUCGGUGCUUGGAACAUGGAGAUGAGGGUUCAGAGACCCCAGAGGCUCCGCCAGGAAAGGGCUCCACAGCUGUUGGUCUCGGGAGCCGACAUGACCAUCGCGUGACCAUCGCCCGUGUGUAACUAAUGACCUGUGGAACUGUGCUGUGGAACCCUACUUUCCUCACCAUGGGACCUCAGUGAACCUACCUGUUCCUGUCAUCAAGGAGGGUGGGUGCUAUAGUGUAGAUGGAUAGGGGAAGCAGCAGAGGGCCCCAGGCACAGGCACUGCCUGCCAGCUAUUUGUGGUGGCCUGGGGGUGCCAUCUCCGGUUUCAAUUCAUGCCUAGUCCUUGGCCAGAUACACACUGUCUCCAUGUACCUGAUGGGAGGACUGCUGGCC